AGUGAACGCUGGCGGUAGGCCUAACACAUGCAAGUCAAACGGCAGCACAGUAAGAGCUUGCUCUUACGGGUGGCGAGUGGCGGACGGGUGAGGAAUACAUCGGAAUCUACUUUUUCGUGGGGGAUAACGUAGGGAAACUUACGCUAAUACCGCAUACGACCUACGGGUGAAAGCAGGGGAUCUUCGGACCUUGCGCGAUUGAAUGAGCCGAUGUCGGAUUAGCUAGUUGGCGGGGUAAAGGCCCACCAAGGCGACGAUCCGUAGCUGGUCUGAGAGGAUGAUCAGCAACACUGGAACUGAGACACGGUCCAGACUCCUACGGGAGGCAGCAGUGGGGAAUAUUGGACAAUGGGCGCAAGCCUGAUCCAGCCAUACCGCGUGGGUGAAGAAGGCCUUCGGGUUGUAAAGCCCUUUUGUUGGGAAAGAAAAGCAGCAGGUUAAUACCCCGCUGUUCUGACGGUACCCAAAGAAUAAGCACCGGCUAACUUCGUG
rnacentral:rRNA from 1 species